CCAGACUCCUACGGGAGGCAGCAGUGGGGGAUAUUGCACAAUGGGGGAAACCCUGAUGCAGCAACGCCGCGUGUGGGAAGAAGGUUUUCGGAUUGUAAACCACUGUUCUUGGUGAAGAUAAUGACGGUAACCAAGGAGAAAGCUCCGGCUAACUACGUGCCAGCAGCCGCGGUAAUACGUAGGGAGCAAGCGUUGUCCGGAUUUACUGGGUGUAAAGGGUGCGUAGGCGGUCUUGCAAGUCAGACGUGAAAACCACAGGCUCAACCUGUGGACUGCGUUUGAAACUGUGGGGCUUGAGUGAAGUAGAGGUAGGCGGAAUUCCCGGUGUAGCGGUGAAAUGCGUAGAGAUCGGGAGGAACACCAGUGGCGAAGGCGGCCUACUGGGCUUUAACUGACGCUGAGGCACGAAAGCAUGGGUAGCAAACAGGAUUAGAUACCCCGGUA
rnacentral:rRNA from 1 species